rnacentral:rRNA from 1 species
AUUGAACGCUGGCGGCAGGCUUAACACAUGCAAGUCGAGCGGAGUGAUGGUGCUUGCACUAUCACUUAGCGGCGGACGGGUGAGUAAUGCUUAGGAAUCUGCCUAUUAGUGGGGGACAACAUCUCGAAAGGGAUGCUAAUACCGCAUACGUCCUACGGGAGAAAGCAGGGGAUCACUUGUGAUCUUGCGCUAAUAGAUGAGCCUAAGUCGGAUUAGCUAGUUGGUGGGGUAAAGGCCUACCAAGGCGACGAUCUGUAGCGGGUCUGAGAGGAUGAUCCGCCACACUGGGACUGAGACACGGCCCAGACUCCUACGGGAGGCAGCAGUGGGGAAUAUUGGACAAUGGGGGGAACCCUGAUCCAGCCAUGCCGCGUGUGUGAAGAAGGCCUUAUGGUUGUAAAGCACUUUAAGCGAGGAGGAGGCCCUUUUGGUUAAUACCCAAGAUGAGUGGACGUUACUCGCAGAAUAAGCACCGGCUAACUCUGUGCCAGCCGCCGCAGUAA